AAGAUACUAGUAAAAUAGUUAUUACACCGCCUUGUCGAGGCAGAGUUGCAAGUUAAAACCUUGCGUAUCUUA
rnacentral:tRNA from 1 species